AGAGUUUGAUCCUGGCUCAGAAUGAACGUUGGCGGCGUGGAUUAGGCAUGCAAGUCGAGCGCGAAACGUAGCAAUACGUGGAGAGCGGCGAAAGGGAGAGUAAUACAUAGGUACGUACCCUUGGGUCUGGGAUAGCGGCGGGAAACUGCCGGUAAUACCAGAUAACGUCUCCGGACCAAAGGUGUGAUUCCACCUGAGGAGCGGCCUAUGUCCUAUUAGCUUGUUGGUGGGGUAACGGCCUACCAAGGCAAAGAUGGGUAUGGGGUGUGAGAGCAUGCCCCCACUCACUGGGACUGAGACACUGCCCAGACACCUACGGGUGGCUGCAGUCGAGAAUCUUCGGCAAUGGACGCAAGUCUGACCGAGCGACGCCGCGUGCGGGAUGAAGGCCUUCGGGUUGUAAACCGCUGUCGUAGGGGAGGAAAUUCUGGUGGGUUCUCCCAUCAGAUUGACUGAUCCUAGGAGGAAGGACCGGCUAAUCUCGUGCCAGCCGCCGCGGUAAUUC
rnacentral:rRNA from 1 species